CUCCAUCUGCUCAUGGCUGCUGGGGGCUGACCAUGAGGACACAGGAUCCAGGAAGAGGACACUUUUCCUAGGGGAGAGACACAAGAUCUCAAUGUGGAAUGAUGCUUUCGUGGCACCCUAGGUGGCACAAAUGAGCCACCUGGAAAUGAUCAGCCAUACGAACACCACCAUCAGAGAAGCCCAGGGACCCAUGAGGAGAGUGACAGCACUUAGUGAGUACGGAGAACGAGGAAACACAGCGCUAAGCAUAGUACGUAAGGUGUCCUAGGAGCUCUUCCAGAAAGCCAGCAGCCACCAGUGACCCUGCUUUGGUCAGCACCAUGAGAGGGGGUCCUCUUCCCGCCCUGUGUCUGGGGGAGACAGGACGUGUUAGGAAGAAACCAUCAGCACCACCUGAACAUGCCUCAAGCACGC